rnacentral:rRNA from 1 species
AACGAACGCUGGCGGCAUGCCUAACACAUGCAAGUCGAACGAGACCUUCGGGUCUAGUGGCGCACGGGUGCGUAACGCGUGGGAAUCUUCCCUUAGGUACGGAAUAACUCAGGGAAACUUGAGCUAAUACCGUAUAAUGACUUCGGUCCAAAGAUUUAUCGCCUAAGGAUGAGCCCGCGUCGGAUUAGCUAGUUGGUGAGGUAAAAGCUCACCAAGGCGACGAUCCGUAGCUGGUCGAGAGGAUGAUCAGCCACACUGGGACUGAGACACGGCCCAGACUCCUACGGGAGGCAGCAGUGGGGAAUAUUGGACAAUGGGCGAAAGCCUGAUCCAGCAAUGCCGCGUGAGUGAUGAAGGCCUUAGGGUUGUAAGCUCUUUACCCGGGAUGAUAAUGACAGUACCGGGAGAAUAAGCCCGCUAACUCCGUGCCAGCCGUCGCAGUAAG